GUAAGCUAAAUAAUUACAAAAAUACUUUGCAAAUGCAAACUGCAACGGACACACGCAGUGACAGCCGAGAACAAUAUAUACAUCGUAAAUCCUGUUUACAACUGGCUUGGGAAAGGGUGAAUGUUUGGUUUCUAAAUUGUUGAAAGCUUGUAUAACCUUCUGGGACACCUCUAGGAUGGACUCUAAAUUGUCUUCUCUCUGCAACUAUUUUUUACAUUAAAACCCAAAAUAACAACAACAAAAAAUUACAAGUCUUGAUGUUGUGGCUCAGACACCAAAUUCCCUAUAAAAUUAAAAGUAAAGGAUGAGAUGAGAGAAAUUUUGGCUUAGAGAAACACCGGUUGAGAAAGGAAAGAAAAUAUUGCUCACUUUUCCCUUAUUUCUUCUAUGUAAAUAAAUUUCCCUAUACAAUUUAUAUGGUCUUACUUUAAGUGUAUGGGAUCUUUAGAAAUCAUAGAACGCUAAGAAUAUUCGUAUGUGUAAAUGGGUACUCACUUCACAUAGCAGGUACUCAAUAAAUAUUAGCUACAAAAGAUAAAAGCAAACUAUAAGGCAUCUUUGUAGACCAUUUGGCCAACCAUCCUGCUGUUCAGAGCCGAGGAGCUGAGGCCUAGGUGGUUGGAAGACUUACACAGCUCCUACACGGGCCUGCUGAAAGUCUGGGCUGCAACUCGUUUCUUCUUACAGGUUCAGAGACUCCUCUGGCUCAUCACUGUCACAGAACCGCACUGGGCCUCAGUUCAUCACUGGAUAUCAAGAGCACCUCUACCUGCCCAGGGAUUAUCCAUCAAAGAGUCUUAAAAGCUCAUGCUAGCUUGCUUAACAUACCUGCUAUAACUCAUGAUACAGAACCCUAUGGAGAACUGUGUUGUAACAUGGAUGUAGUGCCUAUGCAAAGGUACAUUGCCAAGCGGAAGACUGCCAGAGAGCAUCACUAAUGGAGGGGGAGUGUCAGAGUGACCGGUGAAGCAGUUGGAUGCAAAACUGAAGGAGUCCUGUCUCGCCAAGGAAAGCUCAGCUAUGGGGCAGUUUUCUCUUUCUGUCUAAAACGGAAUCACAGUUAACCUCCUUUUCUGUCAAAUACAGGAAAUUAACGAGGUUUUCCAAAUAUCUCCUGCAAGUUGGUCAGUGUCCGCCUAUUUUCUGUUUUUCUGAUUUUAUCCCUUCUGGGGCAUUGUUGGCUUCUGUUAUGCAAGCAGCGUGCCUGCUGGGUUAGUUUUCCAGGUAAUCCAACUUUGCUCCAUGGCUUUUAGACACUGUUGAAUCAAGCUGGUUUCUUCCUUGUAUCCCUUCUGCUUAGAAAUGUCAUUCCUUCUUGGCGAUUUUGUCAGUUUUGUGCUUUGAUUGCUUUGUGUCACAAAACCUUUUUAGAUAAAACUCUAUGUGUUGGGGAAGGAGACCAACAGAAAUGUAUUAUUCAAUUACUUUAAUCAAAUAUCUUUGGGUUAAUGAGUGUGAACUGAAUUGUGGCAAUUUUUAGAAACAUAGCUUUUGAAUUGAAGUUCUUUUGAAAAAAUAAGACUACUUAUUAUGGGUGAAAAAGCUUGGAAUAGUUUUAUUCUACUUUUAAAACACUGUCAGAUUGAAAUAGUACUGGUACAAUAGAAACCUUGUGGUUUGGGAUUCAGAGAUCUGAGUUCCAGUUUUUGCUUUGCUCAUAAGUAAUAUUAAGGUGAUCAGUUAAAUUAUUAGUUUCUUCCUCUAAAAGGAUGGGAUGAGAUUAGAUAAUUUUUUAGGAUGUCUAGAAAUUCUGACUCUGUAAGGCACUGUGUUUUGACAAGGUCCUUUUAGACAUAAAUCAAAAUUAUUCCGAAAAUUUUUUUUUUUUUUUUUUUUGAGACGGAGUUUCGCUCUUGUUACCCAGGCUGGAGUGCAAUGGCGCGAUCUCGACUCACCGCAACCUCCGCCUCCUGGGUUCAGGCAAUUCUCCUGCCUCAGCCUCCUGAGUAGCUGGGAUUACAGGCAUGCACCACCAUGCCCAGCUAAUUUUUUGUAUUUUUAGUAGAGACGGGGUUUCACCAUGUUGACCUGGAUGGUCUCAAUCUCUUGACCUUGGGAUCCACCCGUCUAGGCCUCCCAAAGUGCUGGGAUUACAGGCGUGAACCACCGCGCCCGGCCCCGAAAUUUUUAUUUCAUAUUUUAGAGGCAUCAGUAGGGCAUAAUAUAAAAUAAACUUGUAUGAAACGACA
rnacentral:lncRNA from 13 species